rnacentral:rRNA from 1 species
UGCCAGCAGCCGCGGUAACACGAACCGUACGAACGUUAUUCGGAAUUAUUGGGCUUAAAGGGUGCGUAGGCGGCGCUGUAAGUCGGGUGUGAAAUCCCACGGCUCAACCGUGGAACUGCGCUUCAAACCACAAGGCUUGAGGGAGGCAGAGGUAAGCGGAACUGAUGGUGGAGCGGUGAAAUGCGUUGAUAUCAUCAGGAACACCAGUGGCGAAGGCGGCUUACUGGGCCUCUUCUGACGCUGAGGCACGAAAGCUAGGGUAGCGAACGGGAUUAGAUA